rnacentral:lncRNA from 1 species
UUAGUUAAAAUAUAAAUCAAAGUGUAUUUCAAUAAUAACUCACAUAUAUUUGGCAUAUAUUAUUUUCCAUCUAAAUCGGUUUGUCAAUUAUCAAAAACAUAUAAAUGUGAACAUACAUAUAUGUUCCAACAAUUUCCCCCUUUUUGAUAAUGGCAAACCUAUAUGCGAAUAUGCAUAUACCCUUAUAAAAACUAUGCCAAAUAUAAGACAACUUAUUAUUGAGUUCCCCC